GACGAACGCUGGCGGCGUGCCUAAUACAUGCAAGUCGACCUUAGUGGCGGACGGGUGAGUAACACGUGGGAACCUACCCAUCAGAGGGGGAUAACUACUGGAAACAGUUGCUAAUACCGCAUACCAUCGGCUGUGCCCGGAUGGGAUUAGCUUGUUGGGGGGGUAACGGCUCACCAAGGCGACGAUGCGUAACUGGUCUGAGAGGAUGAUCAGUCACACUGGAACUGAGACACGGUCCAGACUCCUACGGGAGGCAGCAGUGGGGAAUAUUGGACAAUGGGCGAAAGCCUGAUCCAGCCAUGCCGCGUGAGUGAAGAAGGUCUUCGGAUUGUAAAGCACUGUAAGUAGGGAGGCGGUACCAAAAGAAUAAGCACCGGCUAACUUCGUGCCAGCAGCCGCGGUAAUUC
rnacentral:rRNA from 1 species